UACGGAGGGUGCAAGCGGUGUUCGGAAUUACUGGGCGUAAAGCGCGUGUAGGCGGUCGAGCAAGCCAGAUGUGAAAGCCUUCCGCUUAACGGAAGAAGUGCAUUUGAAACUACUCGGCUGGAGUACGGGAGAGGAGAGUGGAAUUCCCGGUGUAGAGGUGAAAUUCGUAGAUAUCGGGAGGCACACCAGUGGCGAAAGCGGCUCUCUGGUCCGAUACUGACGCUGAUACGCGAAAGCGUGGGGAGCAAACAGG
rnacentral:rRNA from 1 species